CUAUGGAUUUUGAGCAUCUCAAAUUUAGCAUUAAUGGAUUGAUGGUUAGGCUCAAAUCUGGAAUGUUUUGAUCUCCUUCAAGCUCUGAAACUGUUGCUCCAUCCAUUUUAAGAGGCUUGAGGUUUUUCUAAAAGAAAAGUCUAAUUGUUAAACAUGGAUGAUGCUAAGGGAAGAAAGAUGGCUACUGAUACUCAAGCCUUCUAUUAAAGAUAGAUUGGGCCAAUAAUUUUUUUUGAGUGAAAUAAAUCAAAAGCUACGAAUUUUAAAGGCAAGCAAUUGUGAUAUUUUAAUUUAAAAUUGGGAUGCUAAUGUUCUUUUAAAAGAGAAUUAAAUAAUUUGAUAUGUAUGGUAAAACGAAAGGAUCGCGUUUUGGGAUGUCAUAUUUUUUGUAUGUUGAGAUCUUGUGAAGCAAGUACUUUGAGAGGUAAAUAAUUUGAGAGCACAA
rnacentral:lncRNA from 1 species